ACAGAAUUUCCUAUUAUCUAAGGUCCCCGAUGAGUCAGUUAUUCAUGGAUUUUCAUUUUGAUUGGGAAGUGCCUGGACCUGCCCACAAUAACAGCACUACUCACACUGGGCUGUGCAGCCAGUCAUAUAAAGAGGCCCUUGACUGUGUGACUGCAGACUCCUGGUGCUCAAGCCCUGGACUCCUUUGGAGAACCUGAUCCUGAGACUUCAGCACAAUGUCUUCUCAAGAGCAGCAGUGCCAGCAGCUGAGCCAGAAUCCUCCUGUGUGUCCACCCACAACGUCUCCUGAGCCUUCUCGUCCAUUGAAGUGCCCACAGGCUUGUCCUCCUCCAAUGUACCCACAGACUUAUCUUCCUCCAACGUGCCCACAGACAUGUCCUCCUCCUCCAGUGUGCACACAGAUUUGUACUACAGUAUGUCCACCUCCUUAUACUCCUCCAACGUGGCCAUAUCCUUGUAAUCGUCGAAUGUGAACACAGCUUUGUAUCCUCCAAUGUGCCCACAUCCUUGUCACCCUCCAAAGUGCCCACAACCAUGCCCACCUCAGCCAUGACAGUAGACAUGUCCUCGUGUGCACCCUCAUUCAACUUGCCAGCAGAAGUUCCCACAGAAGAACAUGUGAGUGCUGCAGCAAUCAUCAGGACCAAGAGAAGAAAAGGAGCUCUUUCUUCCCCAACUUCCAUGGAAACACUUCCAUAGUUGCUUCAAAGCCUGUCAUGGUUGCCAAAGAAUUUUGUCCACCCUCACCUCCAUGUGUCUGUGAUGACCCCUUCGAGGGAGGGCAUUCUCCUGAGAUUCUUCUCCUGCUCUUGUCAAGUGGUGGCUGAGUUUGUUCCUUCCACACCACCUCAGUGUCCCAGAUGCUCGUUGAUGAGCAGCAGCUUCCACCCUGUGCAAUCAGAGGAUGUUUCCAAAACCGUGGGUUUCCUUGUUUGUGUUGUUGUCUCCAUGACUUCAUUUCCUGAAUAAAGUACAAUAUGGCUUCUAGUA